rnacentral:tRNA from 1 species
GGGGCCGUAGUCUAGCCUGGAAGGAUAGCCGAUAAAAGGCUCCCUUAAGCCAGCCUGGGGCGCUGGUGGUCCCGGGUUCAAAUCCCGGCGGCCCCACCA